GUGAAAAGAACAGAAAAUAUAUCCAUUAUUCUGUACAUCCUCACAGAGGCUGUAAAUAAAUACUGUUGACAUUAGUUAUGAUAAUUCCCAACCCUAAUUAUCUGGGCAGAGUCAUAAACAGUGAGACUGUAGGCUGAAACUGACCUACUAAAUUGGAAUCCUACUUGCUGCAAUAUGACCUUGCCGGGCUGGUCAUCGGUGGAGCCUUGUGAUCUAUACAGAAUAUUGAGCAUUAGUCGCAGUAGCGAAGACACGGAAACAACCUAAGUGUUCACCAACAGAUGAAUGGAUGAAGCAAAUGUAGCAUAUAUACACAGUGGAAUACUAUUCAGCCUUUAAAAAGAAGGAAAUCUGGCUAACUGCAACAACAUGGAUGAACCUGGAGGAUAUUAUAUAAGUGAAAUAAGCCAGGCAUGGAAAGGUAAAAACUGAAUGUUCUCACUUAUAUGUGGAAUCUAACACAAUCAAAUUCAUGGAAGCUGGGAAUAGA
rnacentral:lncRNA from 1 species